CUCACAAUACGGAGAUAGAAGACCCCAACAUUGUAAUACAAGAUCAGAUCGAAAAAACUUAGUGAUACAAGAUGAGGGCUACACAAAUUCUACUCCUAGUCCUUGUCCUCUUCAUGCUAACCCCAGAUCUGGCAAAGGCUAAGCUGGAGUGCACGGAUUUCAUCAUAGCCAACCAGUGCGACGUCGACGAGAUCACAUGCCAACAUUACUGCUACAACCAGUUCAACGGAACCGGCAAGUGCAUCCACAAGAAAGGAUGCCAGUGCCAUUUCUGCUAUGCAACUCCACGCAAGCCAUCGCCUUCUAGCAGCUCCUAGUCGUAGUUUUCUCUUUAAUUUUCUGUUUUAUCAAGGUCAAUGUACAACAGUUGUGAACAUGAUUUGUUUCUAGUGCAACAACUAUGGCACAAUUAA